CGCACUGUCAUAGGGGAGUAGCAACCCGCCCGUGAUCCGGGCAGGGCUCAUGUCAACAUUCUUGGAUCCUCAGAUCCAUGGCAUGGGCGGCGAUGGUAUCCAUCGCU
rfam:Aeromonas hydrophila subsp. hydrophila ATCC 7966, complete genome.